AUACCAACAGUCAUUUCUGUUCAUGUAUUUUGAUACCAAUGACUUUAAUUGUUUUAAAAUCUCAGCACUGUAUGGAGCACAAACUGCACUUGUACAGGCAUCUUCAGGAAUGUAAGAAUUUUUGUGUUCACAGUUUUUUCAAUUGUCUUCCCUUUGCUAGUCUUCUUUUUGAAGGGUCACUUGCCAAUCAAGUGUAACUUUCAUAUCAGAAUUGCAUUGCAGUGAUCUUGGCAAACUGUUCAAUCUCAUCAUUGUCACUGUCACUAUCAUCACCAUCACCAUCUUCUUUAUUUUACGUAUCAUCUAUCAGCUUUGAUAUCUUAUUAUGACACUUGUCACACUUUAUGAUCACCAUUGCAAAUAAUAAAGUUUUUCAGUCAUCCAAGAACAUAGAUUUCUUAAACUGUUCCUGACAUUGUUAUGACCACUCAUUUAAUGGGUUACAGCACAAAACAAUGGUGAUGCAAGAUGUCAAUAUAUGUCCAUUUCACUGAUCACAUGAUCAGAUAGAAAUGAAAGCAGUCACAUCAUCACAGAACAACAGGAUGAGGGAAGGGAAUUGAUGCACAAGAGGGAAAAAACAACACCAUAGUGUAGCAGCUAAUGUUGCUGAUACUGGAAUUCAACCAACAACAAAUAUAAUAAAUUGUGAUAAGGUGAAAGUAUCUAGGAGGUAAGUUCUAAAUUUCAUGUAACACUAAUUUUUACAGCACAUAAUAAUACCAAGAACAUAUGUUUAGUUUACUGUAAUAGGUGCAAACCACAAAGCAAAAAUUCAGUACAAUUCAAAUUCUCAUUGUUGCACAUAUGUAAGUACUUCUCUCAAUUGCUCAUAGGUGUAGUACUUUUAGAUCACCAAUUAAAAAUUGUUGGCUGAUACCGCAGUGUUGGCCAUGUUCACCUUCACUGCAGUUUUUUGAGAAUUCUUCUAAACUUCGUUUGAUGAUGGAAAGAAAGUGGAAUUGCACUGACUCAUGUUCCUGUAUCCAAUUUGAACAGGCAUGGAAUCAGAGGGUAAUGUAAUAUGAACAAACCUCCAUACAACAUAGAGUCUCAGUUAUGUUGUGUAAUACAGCACAACCAAGGAGAAGACAUAACCUUCAGCUUGGCUGCACAUGAACGUCGUAGCCUAGCAGGCAAUUUGAUGUCGACAUCGCAGAUGACGCAGGAGCGAUACACUUUCCCACAAUCUGGGCAUGGAUAAAGUCCAGGGCAGCUAGCAUUAUGUUGAUCUGAUAACCUAUGUGAUGCUGGAGGUUGAUGAAAACUAUUUAUUGCUUGCUGAAU